ensembl:lncRNA
GGUCAAUGUGUAAGUUUAAAUCACAAUAAUAUUACAGGGGAAGACUAUUACGUUCAUUCAUUUAGGUGCAAUCCCGCGGGGGUGAAGCGCACGUGGCAGCAGCUGAAGAUGAAAUAUAAGAACAUUGUUCAAACAGGUAAGAAGUCGGCAUAAUCUCAUGGAGCUACCUCAUUUUGAUCAUGUUUUACAUUGUAAAGUAGCCUAAAUAUUAGGUGGCUGUGUGUCUGUGCAGUGGUUUUACCCCGCACAUAGCCUAAAUGUCUGCAUCCAUAUCAUGUUCUGUUAAACAAUUAAGCCUAUUUAAACUAACACAGACUUCUACUCAGCCAACAGAAAGAAAGGAGAUGCCUGUAAAAAGGGAGGUGGCCCAGCACCACCACCUCUAACGGAAGCAGAGGAGCUGGUCCUAAGCCAGAAUUUGGGAAGGCCAGUGGCUGAGGGAAUCCCUGGAGGGAGCUCAUCCUCUGAGACCACAUCCCAAGACACAAGUGCUUUUAUAAAAUAUUCUGAUGGUACUAUCUGCCUGGUGGAGCCCCUUCACACCACAACAGACCUUGUAACUGAUGAAGAGGAUGAAACUGUCUGCUGCCUUUACAGAGGGGGAUCCAGAAAGGCAUACAGAGAGCAUGGCUGGACAGCAGCAGGAUGGUCCCUCAACUUCCACUGCACAGAUUGACACAGUGAGAUGGAUGUUCAGUAAACACCAGAGGUUCAGUCCAUGGAAUUCAUGUGCAACUGUAUAAUUUAAUGUCCUUUAUGUAUUCCCAGUUACCAGUAAAACAAAUAUACAAAAUCGACUUGCUGAGAAAAAUACAAAAAAC